rnacentral:rRNA from 1 species
AUGAACGCUGGCGGCGUGCCUAAUACCUGCAAGUCGAGCGAACAGACGAGGAGCUUGCUCCUCUGACGUUAGCGGCGGACGGGUGAGUAACACGUGGAUAACCUACCUAUAAGACUGGGAUAACUUCGGGAAACCGGAGCUAAUACCGGAUAAUAUAUUGAACCGCAUGGUUCAAUAGUGAAAGACGGUUUUGCUGUCACUUAUAGAUGGAUCCGCGCCGCAUUAGCUAGUUGGUAAGGUAACGGCUUACCAAGGCAACGAUGCGUAGCCGACCUGAGAGGGUGAUCGGCCACACUGGAACUGAGACACGGUCCAGACUCCUACGGGAGGCAGCAGUAGGGAAUCUUCCGCAAUGGGCGAAAGCCUGACGGAGCAACGCCGCGUGAGUGAUGAAGGUCUUCGGAUCGUAAAACUCUGUUAUUAGGGAAGAACAAAUGUGUAAGUAACUAUGCACGUCUUGACGGUACCCAAUCAGAAAGCCACGGCUAACUACGUG